CCUACGGGAGGCAGCAGUGGGGAAUAUUGCACAAUGGGCGAAAGCCUGAUGCAGCAACGCCGCGUGAGCGAUGAAGGCCUUCGGGUCGUAAAGCUCUGUCCUCAAGGAAGAUAAUGACGGUACUUGAGGAGGAAGCCCCGGCUAACUACGUGCCCGCAGCCGCGGUAAUACGUAGGGGGCUAGCGUUAUCCGGAGUUACUGGGAGUAAGGGGUGCGUAGGUGGUUUCUUAAGUCAGAGGUGAAAGGCUACGGCUCAACCGUAGUAAGCCUUUGAAACUGGGGAACUUGAGUGCAGGAGAGGAGAGUGGAAUUCGUAGUGUAGCGGUGAAAUGCGUAGAUAUUAGGAGGAACACCAGUUGCGAAGGCGGCUCUCGGGACUGUAACUGACACUGAGGCACGAAAGCGUGGGGAGCAAACAGGAUUAGAUACCCCUGUAGUC
rnacentral:rRNA from 1 species